GAGUCUUAACUGGGCGUCUAGUUGCAAGGUAUAGACCCGAAACCCGGUGAUCUAGCCAUGGGCAGGUUGAAGGUUGGGUAACACUAACUGGAGGACCGAACCGACUAAUGUUGAAAAAUUAGCGGAUGACUUGUGGCUGGGGGUGAAAGGCCAAUCAAACCGGGAGAUAGCUGGUUCUCCCCGAAAUCUAUUUAGGUAGAGCCUUGAGCGGACACCUUUGGGGGUAGAGCACUGUUUCGGCUAGGGGUCCAUCCCGGAUUACCAACCCGAUGCAAACUACGAAUACCAAAGAGUGAUACUCAGGAGACACACGGCGGGUGCUAACGUCCGUCGUGGAGAGGGAAACAACCCAGACCGCCAGCUAAGGUCCCAAAGUCUAUAUUAAGUGGGAAACGAAGUGG
rnacentral:rRNA from 1 species